UUUUUCUCGAAAUAAAUCUGUUUAUUUUUUAAUCUGAAAAUAUUUCUAUCAAUAAAAAAGUUUUUUUUUAAAGUAUUUUUUUCUAAAUCUAAAUAGAUUUACACCAUCAUACUAAAAAUAACCAUAAAAAAACCAAACGCAUCAUAAAAAGAGAGUAAAACAUUAUAAGAGGAUUAUUAAAAUUGAACCCAGAAAUCAAUCUAGGUAAGAACAAUAAACAAAAUAAAACGGGUAGAGAAAGAGAGAGAGAUGGAUUAAGAAGAAGAGGAUGAAAAAAGGAAGAACCGGAAAAGAGACUAGAAUAGAAAAAAAAGGAAGGAGAGGCCAGAGGAAAAAAAAAGGAAAAAGAGAGAAAAAGACUUGAAGUGGAAAGAAAAGUGGGAGAAAAGUGGUGGAGGUAGAGAACGGCCAUUGCUGCUGGUAUGGUAGUGGUAUCAGCAGCCCUCAAAUUGAAUUUUUUCGUUAUUCACACACACACAGAUAGAGAGAGACUGUGUCUGGAAGAAUCGUGAAGAGCUGCACUUCUUAAUUUAGAGAGAAAGAGAGAGUAUUGUCUCUGGAAGAGUCGUGAAGAGCUGCACUUCUUAAUUUAAUACUUGAAGAGAGAGCACUAUAUCUGGAUGAGUCGUGAAGAACUGUACUUCUUAAUUAGAUGUGCAUAUAAAAUUUUGACUACAUAUCAAGAUUAAAUUCUUAAUUUAAGAUUUUUUUACUAAAAAAAAAUAUUUUAGUUCAUAGAGAUAAUCAAAUGAUACUUAUAAAUUGCAUAAAAAAAACAUCAAUUUUAUCUCUAGAAAAGCAUAUAUAUUUUAUGUUGAACAAUAAAAUGAGAUGAAGAAUAAUAUUUGAUUACAAAAAAUUUUAAUAAAAAAAUAGAAAUAAAUCUGAAUCUCCUGCUUUUUUGAAAUUACACAAAUUUGUUGCAACAUAGUCAGAUGUUUCUUCUUUUCGAAAUAGAUCUACUUAUUUGUCAAUCUAAAAAUAUUUUUACCGACAAAAAAUCUCUCUCAAAGUAUUUUUUUCUCAAAUCUAAAUAGAUCUGCACUAUCGUACUAAAAUUAAUCAUAAACCAUAAAAAGAGAAUAAAACAUUAUAAGAAGGUUAUCAAAACUUAAACCAAGAAAUUAAUCUAGUCAGAAUAUUCAACAAAAUAAAAUAGGUAGAGAGAGAAAGAGAGAGAUGGAUUGAGAAGAAGAUGAUGAAAAAAGGAAGAAUCAGAAAAGACAUUAGAAUAGAAAAAAAUAUGGAGAGGCUAGAGAAAAAAAAAAGAAAAAAGAGAUAGAAAGAACAGAGAGAAAAAAACUUGAACUGGAAAGAAAAGUGGGAGAAAAGUGGUAGAGGUACGGAGACGGCCAUCGCUGUUGAUAUGGUAGUGGCAACGGCAAUUUUCAAAUUGUAUCUUUUCUAUUAUUCACAUAGACAGACAGAUAGAG
rnacentral:lncRNA from 1 species